UACAGAGGUGGCAAGCGUUGUCCGGAAUUAUUGGGCGUAAAGGGCCCGUAGGCGGUCUGUCGCGUCGGGAGUGAAAACUCAGGGCUUAACCCUGAGCCUGCUUCCGAUACGGGCAGACUAGAGGUAUGCAGGGGAGAACGGAAUUCCUGGUGUAGCGGUGAAAUGCGCAGAUAUCAGGAGGAACACCGGUGGCGAAGGCGGUUCUCUGGGCAUUACCUGACGCUGAGGAGCGAAAGUGUGGGGAGCGAACAGG
rnacentral:rRNA from 1 species